rnacentral:rRNA from 1 species
CCUACGGGUGGCAGCAGUGAGGAAUAUUGGUCAAUGGACGAGAGUCUGAACCAGCCAAGUCGCGUGAGGGAUGAAUGCCCUAUGGGUCGUAAACUUCUUUUACAUGGGAAUAAAAUGGCGUACGCGUCCGCUCUUGUAUGUACCAUAUGAAUAAGGAUCGGCUAACUCCGUGCCAGCAGCCGCGGUAAUACGGAGGAUGCGAGCGUUAUUCGGAAUUAAUGGGGUUAAAGAGUGCGCAGGCGGGCUUGUAAGGCAGCUGUGAAAUCCUGGGGCUUAACCCCAGAAGUGCAGUUGAAACUGGGAGUCUUGAGUGGGGGAGAGGUAUGCGGAAUGCGUGGUGUAGCGGUGAAAUGCAUAGAUAUCGCGCAGAACUCCGAUUGCGAAGGCAGCGUGCUGGACCGCCACUGACGCUGAGGCACGAAAGCGUGGGGAUCGAACAGGAUUAGAUACCCGUGUAGUC